UUUGCUUUCAUGGCAGUGACCACAAGGUGUACACUGAGUCAUUCAGGUUCUCGAUUUCUCUCUGGUUUUAGUUUUUGUUUUUGCUUGUUUUGUCUUGUUUUGUCUUGUUUUACACUAGUGAAGAUAUUGGUGUGGUGAAGGGCUGUGCUCUGUUGAUGGCCCAGACUGUAAACCAUUCAUUACACACUUUUAUUCAUUGCACAUGUUUAGCAGUGACUAUGCGGUGAGCAAGAUGCUAGGACACUGGAGGAUGCAAAAGGAAUGAGAUAUGACUCUAACCUACAAUGGCUGAUGCCUCACCAGGAUAAAUACAAAUUUUGGUUGUUAGAAAGUGGAAUUGGAACAAGAAAUAUUUAGGUUAUUCUGGGGAGGAAAUGAAUCAGCCGGGUUACGUUCAGCUUCAUGUAACAGAAUUGCUGGCCCAAAGUGGCUUCACCACAGGUGGCUAUGAUGUCGCCAACAAGGAGUCCGGAGUCAGGAGGCUCCGGGGUUGAUGAAUUCAUCCUGUCGGCAAGGGCAGGCUUUCAUCAGCUCCUCUGGGAUUCUCCUUCCUCUUUCCUCACAGUCUCACUGUGGCUGCUACAGCUGCGAACAUCACACACUCACUCUACCAGGUCAAAGGCAGAGAGCGAUGAUUGAUUCCUACUGCCUUUCUUUCUUAGUUAAAGAGACAAAACCUUCCCAGACACCACGUUUCUCCUGCAGCAGGCGUCCUCUCAGGCCCUAUUGGCCAGAACUGGGUCAAGUGCCCUCCUCACCCCCAACCAAUCCUGGCAAAGAGGAAGGGCAGGACCAUGACUGGUUUUCUCCAGUCACAAUUCAUUCCCCCGAAAUGGGCCUACUUUCUCUGAGCCCAUUGCAUCAGGAGACCAGAACAACUUACAUUUUAUUUAUUAGUAUUACCACUAUUCAGUGUCAAAAAGAAGAAACGACUGCUGGAGAAAAUACCAACAAUGUUUGCAACAGGAGGCGAGAAGGUCAAGGACCAAAAGUUCAGGUAUAGAAUGGAUUGUCAUUAUGGAAGCAGAAGUCACAGAAAAUACACAGGGGUGUAGUGGCCAGCAGCGAGCAGGGCUAAAGUCUUCAGUGAUGACCACAGGGACGCAGAAGGAGCAGACCACUGCGUAGGAGGAGUGAUGGGUGCCGUCCAGGAAGGUGCUUCCACUUUCUCAGAUGGGCAGCCUUCUCCCUCUUUGGCCCUCGACCCCUGGCGUGAGGACCCUUCCUCUUCUUGGAGUCUCGCCUCCUCUGUGCUUGCCCCAGGACACCUGGAGCCUGCCCACCCUCUUCUCCAUCUCCCCUCCCCCGCCAUGCAUGCCGUCCUCAGAGCCGGCCAUCAGACGGGAGAGGCCGGGGCAGCAAAUAGAACAGUUGCAGCGUCAGGACCCAGGCCUCCAGUGGUCACCAUGGAACCCCUGGGCGGAACUUCAGUGAUGGGCAGGGCCCGGGGAGGACCCUGCCGGCUCUCCAUCCCCGAGGGUCCUGGGGCACUGGGUAGGGCUGCCUGCGUGGCCGGUCGCCGCACCGACUCCCAGGGCUCCACGUGUGAAGUGAACGCUCAGCCACUGGGGGGAGGGAGCCGGACACUGUAAGGCGCACGGGCUGCGUGGGCAGCGAGCCCUCCUGUAGGGACACCCCGUUGGCGUCCAGUCGGGGUGAUGACAUAAGGAGGAGGGGGUGAGAGCCGCCGGGCCACUGGUCAGGGUGAGCUGUGACGUCACAGGAGGCGUUGUGACGGAGGGGCGGUUAUAAAAGCCGGGGCGCGGGCCCGGGGCCUGGCUAAGGGUAGGGGUGGCCCCUCGGUGGCAGCUGCGUGCGCCGCCCGGCCUGUAGCCCACACGGCGCGGUGCGCUCCGUCUGCGUGUUCGUCCACCUGCGCGCCCCUCUGCGGCCGAGUCCCAGCCCCGCACUCCGGGACCUGCCCGUGCUCCUCGCCUCCGCGGCCUCUUCGGCGGGGGAACCAGUACAGAGGACCCUCACCCAGCGAAAAGCCCUCCCAGGCCUCGCGGAUAAGCGCCGGGCGGCAAGAGUGCCCCGGGGGUCCCGCUGACCCAGCGCAGCACAGGGCAGCCGCCGGCCCCGCUCUCGUCCUCGGGACCACCCCACCACCAGCACCACGUGCGCAGCGGGUCCAGCCCCAAGGUUUCCUGGAUGUCCCCGAGUCCUCGCCUGCGCCUGGCGAUCAGCGCCUCUGCCAGGCCCAGAGGUGGCUGGAAGAGGCUGCUCCCUAGCAGAAGACGUCAUUCCGAUGUGGUGUGCCCAGAAGAUGCAGAGGGUAAGGAGAGCGGCUCAGGAACUCAUGCUACCUGGCAGCCCUGGCCCUGGGCGUGUCCCUGGUUUCCCGGUGGUUCCCCAACCUCCGGAAAGGAGAGAACCAGUCCCCCGGCCCCUCCCGCCCACCAGGAUUCUGUCUGUAAGACGGAAGCCAGGAGAUGGCCAGGAAGGACAACCUGAACGCAGGCAAGUGGAGUGUCUUGACCCAGUAACAGACAUCAGAGGCCACCCAUCCAGGCGGAAAUCCAUCUCCAGUGGAGGGCCGAUCAGGGGCCAUCUGCGAGGGCAGGUUGCUCCUUCUGUCCGAGGCAGGCUUGGAAAGGUCUGUGCAGGACAGUGCCAAGGCCUGGCCAGGGUUUGGAGCCAUUCAGAGCGCAGGCCCCUAACGGGUCACUGGGCCAAGGUGCUUGCGGGGCUCGUGGCCUGAAGACCUUUGUCCUGGGACCGACACCAGCCUGGUGUCCUGGUGGCAUACCACUUGGGGACCCUUCUUCUUCUGGCUCAGAGGGAGCAAAGGCUGCGUGCGUUAGAACAACAGAACGACGAGAAGUGGGAAGACCUGUCCGUGGACAUCCAACUUAUGGAGGAAGGCACGCCGGACUCUGAGGGGAAGCUGGAAUUGACCAAAACAGCUCUUAACACCUUCGGGGAAAUUAGUGAAAUCUGUCUAAGGGAGUGUCUGAGCUGAAGGAGUCCCUGAAACUGUGUGCAGAAGAAAUCAAAGCUGGAAAACCUGCUUGUCAUCUUGGAAGGACACGCUUUAAAGAACUUGCCAGAGGACCAGGGCUCCCUGGACGUGGCCUGAGAUGAGAGCAGGGAGAGGGGACACCAAGGCUCCAGGUGCACCUCCUCCUGGGCGGUGGGCCCCUCAGCUCCUGGGCCUGUGGCUGGAGCUCAGGCGUCAUCCCCCAGGACUCCCCAAGGGAGCCCAGGCGGAGGGCGGCGAGCCGAGGACGGGCCAGCUCUGCCGAUGGGCUGUACCGACGUGAGUGCUGACGGAUCCAGGCUUUGAGAGGAGGCCAGCACUGCACCCAAGCGCCCCCGGAGAAAAGGAGCAUGGGAGACCACCAUGUGUGCAGGGUCCUUGGGCGGAGGCCUCGCCUCCCCUCCAACGGGUCACCUUCGACGCUUUGCAGGGAGCCCUGUGUUGCUGGUACAGGGAAGCCGGACCUCCCAGGACCGAGGGCCCCAGAACGAACAUCUAAAUGGAAAAUCCACUCCCUUCUCCACACGUCUGGAAGAGUGAAGACUUUCCUUGGGGUCAUGGUGCAGGCGCUAUGGGCAGACUGGGCGCCACACUUGCUAGUGACAGAAUCAGCCAAGUUUCUAGACGUUUUGAUUCCUUUCCCCUUCUGUUAUCAGUAUUCAUAUGCACAUGGCUUCCAUUUAUUUUUCAGGACAAACCAGUUAUUAAUGGAAACAACCUUGGCAGCCGGAGCAAGUGUCCUGACGUGUUGGGUUAUCAUUUUAUGCACCAGGGCACAACUGGCUGAGCACGGGCCCAGGAGGUCUGCUCAUGCCCCUCCCUGGUCCCCACUGACCCUCUGGGUCUCGUCUAAUGGGGGUCACCCUGGAUUUGCAUCCUCCAAGAUGCAGCAAGACCUUCUGUGACUUUAGCACAGAAUUCUAAGCACGGGGCCAUCUUGGCCACAGCUGGAGUGAUUGACAAGCACAGUCCCACAGGGGAAAGGAGAGAACAGAACACCCACCUCCCUUCUCCUUAUGUCAGACCACACGGCAGGCCAAGGUCGCAAGGCCCCACGUCGUGUCUGAGAUGCUCCAUCCAGAGUCUGUCCUGAGGACUCGGAGAUGAUCUCACAUCACAAGUCCCUCGUAUUUUAUUUUACAACAAAUGAUAAUAUUACCAGGCCAGCUGCACCUUCCCAAAGCUGACAGGAAACCACAGGGAGAGGAAGGCGGAGAAGGCGGAGACAUAUGGUUAAAACCAGUUGAAGGCAACAUGGCAGCCUCACUUGACCUGACAUAGACCCCAGCUCAUUAUUUGCUCAUUGAAGUGCAUUGUCCUGCCACGUAACGCACCAGCGCCAUGACAGUUCACAGUUGGCUUUGACGGACACCCCUGUAAUCUGCCUUCAGUGGAGGACACACUAUGAGCCUCUCCCAGGGUUAAUAAGACUCUGAGAGAUUUUCUGGGAAACUGCUACCCUUAAACAGACAAAGGGAAACUAAAAUUUUAAAAGUUAAUGGAGUUGUUUAAUGCUAUCAUGAAUGGUUACUGUUUGUCCAGGUUGAAACUUGAGCAAGGUAUUUGAAAGGAUUUAGUAACUUACAUGAGAAAUUUGGCCCAAUCAGAAGCUGAUAUUUAAAAUCUGAUAGGAAUUUAUUUGGCUAGGAAUUUAUUUGGCCUUCUUUCCUAAAUUAAGAUAAAACUAAGUACCCAGAGGGAAAGAAGCAAAUUAAGGAUAAUGUAAUUGGAUGGGUGUGUCCUUAUCAAAGGAUAAGUAACUAAUCACCCCUGUUAAUCUCAAAAACUUGUGACCUCUCUGGGAGCUACUAUCUAGACCAUCCCAGAUUCCUAAGACUGAAAGAAAAAAGAAAAGGAAAAAACGAGAAAAGAAGCUUUUGGAGAGGCAGACUGUUAUGAAAGCACCCUUGCCCAAAAAUCUAAGGAAAAUUUUUAAACAGAGGCUGUAAAAUCUUUGUUUCAUCUGUCUGUUGUUUAUGUGUGUCUGUGUAUGUAUAUGUUAUAAAUGUGAGAUAGUUUUCUACUUCCAGAUGGUAUGGUCAAAAUUAAGAGUUCUGUUUAAUUGGCUUAAAGUAAGUAUUUGCAUAAAUUAUUUCUAAAUGUAGUAGAAACUAACCCAAAUGUCUUUCAAGUUAAG
rnacentral:lncRNA from 1 species